rnacentral:rRNA from 1 species
AAAAGUGGAUUAGCGGCGGACGGGUGAGUAACACGUGAGUAACCUGCCUUAGACAUUGGGAUAGCCUCGGGAAACCGGGAUUAAUACCAAAUAAAAUCAUAAUGACACAUGUCAUAACGAUCAAAACUCCGGUGGUCUAAGAUGGACUCGCGUCCCAUUAGCUAGUCGGUAGAGUAAAAGCCUACCAAGGCGACGAUGGGUAGCCGGCCUGAGAGGGUGAACGGCCACAUUGGAACUGAGAAACGGUCCAA